AAACUUAAGUUAAUNUAAANCUAAGGGCCUUCAAAGCCCUAAAUAAGGAC
rnacentral:tRNA from 1 species